UACAGAGGUCUCAAGCGUUGUUCGGAAUCACUGGGCGUAAAGCGCACGUAGGCGGAUUUGCCAGUCAGGGGUGAAAUCCCGGGGCUCAACCUCGGAACUGCCUUUGAUACAGCAAGUCUUGAGUUCGAGAGAGGUGGGUGGAAUUCCUAGUGUAGAGGUGAAAUUCGUAGAUAUUAGGAAGAACACCGGUGGCGAAGGCGGCCCACUGGCUCGACACUGACGCUGAGGUGCGAAAGCGUGGGGAGCAAACAGG
rnacentral:rRNA from 1 species